ensembl:miRNA
AGAAAUGCCUCCAUGAGAUCCAGGUGUAAGGCAUUUUCUCAAUUAGUGAUCAAUUGGAGAGGGCCCACGGUGGGCGGUGCCAUCCCUGGGCUGGUGGUC